CCAGGCCUCUCUCUCCUCCUCCCAGGCACUCCACCUCUGCCGUGCCCCUCCUCAUCCCCGUCACUUCUCUCCUCUGCCAGCGCGUGGUCGCCGCUGCCUUUCCUCUAGCCGCCCCACCGACCAUCUCUCUGCCACUUCCUCUCUUCCCCGCGACACAUCGCCUCCCCACAUUCUUGAUACGGCGUCGGUGUGCGUGGUGGUUUCGGACUAGGCAGGUUGUGGGCUGGGAGAGCAGGGGCGGCAUGGUUCUUGUGAUGGGUGUGAAGGGGUAGGGGAGGCUUAGGAGGACGAUCAUGGGAAGGCGCUUUGAGGCGGACCUCUAGUAGCGCUCGGGGCGCCGGUGGAGUGCAGCCGGCCAUCGCUACCGACCGCUGCUUGUCGGUCGUUGUCCCUCAUCUCCAAUCUAGAUGUAUACAGAUCUGACGAAGAAGAGGAGAGGAAGGAACUUGAGGAAGAGUUAAGAACAAGAAUGAUUUUGAAAUUCUAGACACGGGGCGAUGGAGUGCAAUAAAAUGGGGAGAAAACAUGAGACGACGCGUAUAGUAUGCAGAGUGAGCACAAGGGAAAGAAGCAAGCGUCACGGUGAUGCUGACAGGACAUUGUAGGUCGAGAUGGAGAAGCAGGCGGCGAGAGCAAUGUCGAGAAAGGAAACAGUGGAACCCAAGGGGAGAAAUUUCUGAGAGUGUAGUAGUCGUCCUAAAAAUAGUUUUCUAAUAGUCGAUAUCGUUAUCCUUCUGAUCAAAUUCUUUCAAUCCCUUUGUAUUUUACAGGAGUAUAGAUUUGUGCAUCACCGUACUUUUGUUUCCGAAUUGGCCGAUUAUCGCUGGCUUAUUGCCCGAGAAAUAGCAAGAACGAAAUUGUAAGGGCUUGCAUGUACAAUUAUUGAUAACAUACUCUUAUCUUGUACUCCCUCAGUUC